rnacentral:rRNA from 1 species
GACGAACCGUGCGAACGUUGUCCGGAAUUAUUGGGCGUAAAGCGCGCGCAGGCGGUCCUUUAAGUCUGAUGUGAAAGCCCACGGCUCAACCGUGGAGGGUCAUUGGAAACUGGGGGACUUGAGUGCAGAAGAGGAAAGCGGAAUUCCACGUGUAGCGGUGAAAUGCGUAGAGAUGUGGAGGAACACCAGUGGCGAAGGCGGCUUCUGGUCUGUAACUGACGCUGAGGCGCGAAAGCGUGGGGAGCAAACAGG